AUAAAAUUUAGAUCAAAGUGUUAAAAAUAAAAUUAUUUGAUAAGUCCAAAAACCCUUAAUUACUGAUCAAAUUUUAUCACCUCUUCUAGAUAAUUAAAACUUGAUUACCUCUAUUCAAUUUUAAAACCUUUUUAUCACUCAUAAUUAAUUGCAGCUUCUUUCUGUUCUUCUUCAUAAUAACGAUGACGUCGGCGAAACCCUUUGCAGGCAUGCUCCGUGCCCGUCUUAGUUCGGGGCUCCGAACAAGAGGAGGACACGGCCCGAACCCGUUUACUACGCCGGGCCACCAAGAACGGCCCAACGGGUACCUGUUCAACCGGCCUCCACCACCAGCUGGUCAGUCCAGGAAAUGGGAAGAUUGGGAACUCCCUUGCUACGUCACCAGCUUCCUCACUAUAGUUAUCCUUGGUGUGGGCCUUAAUGCUAAGCCCGAUCUCACCCUUGAAACUUGGGCCCACAAAGAAGCUCUUAAACGACUCCAACUCGAAUCCUCUUCUUCCCAGGUCCAAUCUGUCGAUGCUGACUGAUCUUUCUUCAUCUCUAUAUCUCUGCUUCUGGGGUUAAGAUGAAAAGGGUAUAGGAUUUCCUCUUUGGUGGAUGAUGCCGAAAAUAAAUGUUAACUAUUGACUUGAAAAAUUGUUCCUUUUUACCGCUAAUUUUGGAUGCAUACUGCAGCAAUUAUAAUGCUUUCUUGCAGGAACAAUUGAUAUUCUUUUCAACUUAUUUUUUUUUUGGAGUUUGUGUCUCUUUGCUUUAUCAGUACUCCCUCUGUCCCAAUUUUAAGUGUCUUAGUUUGACUAGGCACGAAAUUUAAAGAAUAAAAGAUACUUUUGAAUUUUGUGGUCCUAAAUUAAAGAUAUAUGUAAUGUACUAAAAUAUCACUUGAAUCUAGUGGUUUUAAACUUGCCACGUAGUAUGCUUGAAUUGUAAAUUUACUAAAUAUAGAAAGAGACACUCUUUAUGGGGCAAACCAAAGAGGAAAGUAAGACACUUAAAUCGGGAUGGAGGGAGUAAUAUUUUAAAGAUUAUGUUACGAUCUGCUCAUGCUUACUGGUUAGCUUACUUUAGUUUUUUUGAUAAGAUCAGUAGCAAUUCAUUAUAAAAUAUACUUGCUUGGUAGCUAGGCGUGUCAAAUUUGUAGGAUGAUAGGCAGCUACACUAUGUGCUCACAAUCAUACAUCUGCACUGGUUUAACAAUUAUGUUGGCAAGAAAACUGCAUUCAAAAGGGUGAAGGAUCAUGCGACUCCUAGUUAUCUCACUUUACAAGCUUUUUCAUUUAUUAGCUAGUGUUAUAAUUACGAAUGGUAGCUAUGUAUUACUUGAGAUGUGAUGCGCUGCUAAGAAUUGAUUUUGCUUUCUUCAGUCUCUUAUUUUGGAUAGUGUGGAAUAACUUUAUUGAUGAUAGAAGAAUUCUAGCUACAGCAAUAUACUACAAAGUGAGAACCUACAAGAACAUAUGGUUCUCUAUGAAGAUAAUCUUCGAUACAAAUUGGAAUGAUCUUGCGUUCUUCACUUUUUAAGUUAUUCUUCCAUUUUAGUACCUCUGUCCUGCAGUAAGAUUGUUACUUGAAUGUCUGGGCUUUGAAGUAGAGUCGACUGUUUGAUGGGUGAGCAGAGUUGUUCAAGCGAUGGGGACCCGCACACCAAGUGUCUUGCUACAUGUCUCUAAUUCUUCUUGCUAUUUAAUUGGUUUUCAUGUAUGAACAAGGUCGAGGCUAAGAGUUGGAACACCUCUUGUAUGAAGUCGCAAGGAUAUACUGCUUUUAUGCCAUAACUUGAGUUGGUUGACCCUAAGAGGCUUCAAUUGUCAAGUACUUGUGGGUUUGAGAAUAGCCAUGUUGGUUAGGAUGUCCAUGUUUGGCUGAAGUUCUUAUAAGAUCAAAGACUUGCUAAGUCUCAGAUGACAGAAUUGUUGGAUGAAAGGGUCGAAUCAAAUGCGAAGUUCAGUCUCAUUACAUGCCCUAUUUGCUCACUACAUUUUCCAUCCAUCCCCAUCAAGCUACCAGUUUUGAAAAGGGAAUCAGCAACAGAAUUUGCCCGUCUAUAGCAACCUCCAAAUAUUGAUUAUGGUCAACCAGAAGUAGCAAUAAGCAUCUCAUCCCUCAAAUUUGGCGACAAUAUUGAUAAUGAGGUACUUCUAUGCACGUGGAUUAUGACGGUUAAAGUGGUGAACAUGUGGUGGUUUCUUAAUGGUUACUUCAAGCCCACGUUUCCGGAUACAUUAUGAUGGGACACUCUGCGUGCUGAAGCAAUCACUUUUAUUAAAACUUUGAAAUUUGUUACGUGUAAAGUUUGGAUUAUGUGAGUUGUCUCAGAAAAGACAUGUCUAAUUCUUAAGUUCUGGGAUAGAUCAACUAAUUAUUUAUGCACAAAUGUGGCAUCUGUAAAUGCAGUUAGUGUACAUUGUGUUUAGAAACUUAUUGUUUAGCACAUGUGGUGUUGCACUUUUAUCUAUCUAUUCGACAUGUCUCUCGAAAUUAUUUUCCUGCACGGAUAUAAUCUGAAAUCCUGCAACUUUUACGGCCAAUUGGCCUAUUUAAUAGUUGUACACCAUAAUUACUUUGAACAAAAUGGGAUCGAUCUGAGCCAAUUUGUUUGAUGUAAGGCCUGUUUCUUUAAACA